GGGUGUGAUCAUACUGGUGUUAAUGCACCGGAUCCCAUCAGAACUCCGCAGUUAAGCGCGAUUGGGCUAGAGUAGUACUGGGAUAGUUAACCUCCCUGGAAGUCCUAGUGUUGCACCCU
rnacentral:rRNA from 1 species